CGUUAAGGCGGCCGACAAAGUUGGUGGUGAAAUUUCAGGGCUCAACUCUGAAACUGCCUCCAAUACUGGUCGGCUUGAGUGCGAGAGAGGAAGGUGGAAUUCCCGGUGUAGUAGUGAAAUGCGUAGAUAUCGGGAGGAACACCAGUGGCGAAGGCGGCCUUCUGGCUCGCAACUGACGCUGUAGCGCGAAAGCGUGGGGAGCGAACGGGAUUAGAUACCCCGGUAGUCCACGCCCUAAACGAUGUGCACUAGGUGUUGGGCGUAUUGACGCGCUCAGUGCCGCAGCUAACGCAUUAAGUGCACCGCCUGGGGAGUACGGUCGCAAGAUUAAA
rnacentral:rRNA from 1 species